rnacentral:rRNA from 1 species
UACGUAGGGGGGCAAGCGUUGUCCGGAAUUAUUGGGCGUAAAGAGCGCGUAGGCGGUCCGGUAAGUCGGCUGUGAAAGUCAAGGGCUCAACCCUUGAAAGCCGGCCGAUACUGUCGGACUAGAGUCCGGAAGAGGCGAGUGGAAUUCCCGGUGUAGCGGUGAAAAUGCGCAGAUAUCGGGAGGAACACCUGUGGCGAAAGCGGCGCACUGGACCACAACUGACGCUGAGGCGCGAAAGCUAGGGGAGCAAACAGG